rnacentral:rRNA from 1 species
GUCGAGCGGCAGCACAGAGAAACUUGUUUCUCGGGUGGCGAGCGGCGGACGGGUGAGUAAUGCCUGGGAAAUUGCCCUGAUGUGGGGGAUAACCAUUGGAAACGAUGGCUAAUACCGCAUAAUAGCUUCGGCUCAAAGAGGGGGACCUUCGGGCCUCUCGCGUCAGGAUAUGCCCAGGUGGGAUUAGCUAGUUGGUGAGGUAAUGGCUCACCAAGGCGACGAUCCCUAGCUGGUCUGAGAGGAUGAUCAGCCACACUGGAACUGAGACACGGUCCAGACUCCUACGGGAGGCAGCAGUGGGGAAUAUUGCACAAUGGGCGCAAGCCUGAUGCAGCCAUGCCGCGUGUGUGAAGAAGGCCUUCGGGUUGUAAAGCACUUUCAGUCGUGAGGAAGGUGGUGUUGUUAAUAGCAACAUCAUUUGACGUUAGCGACAGAAGAAGCACCGGCUAACUCCGUGCCAGCAGCCGCGGUAAUACGGAGGGUGCGAGCGUUAAUCGGAAUUACUGGGCGUAAAGCGCAUGCAGGUGGUUUGUUAAGUCAGAUGUGAAAGCCCGGGGCUCAACCUCGGAAUAGCAUUUGAAACUGGCAAGCUAGAGUACUGUAGAGGGGGGUAGA